rnacentral:misc_RNA from 1 species
GUGAAUCAUCGAAUCUUUGAACGCAUAUUGCGCUCGAGUCCUCGGACAAGAGCACGUCUGCCUCAGCGUCGGUUUAACCCCUCACAUCCCAAUCAUUCGUGAUUGCGUCGAGCCUGCAUUGGCUUGCGGGUGUGGAGUUGGCUCUCCCAAACGCCGGUGUUUCCGGUCGCGUGGGUUGGCUGAAGAAAAGUUGGCUUGAGCAAGGACCCUCUAUGGGUAUCAACUGGAUAGGUAUUUCGGCCACCGUGCCGUUUACUCGAAGUUGGUCCCUUGGACCCUGCUGGACGCCUGCAGGAAUCG